GGAGUGUUUUUAAACUUAUGAUUGUGCGAUCAGAAUCAACAAAAGAUUGCGUGAGUCAUAACUUUGAUAAAGGAUGUUGUCUAGAGUACUCUUAUUACAUCAAACAACAAAGUCGUCAAGUAUAAAAUCGUCAAAGUAGAUCUGUGUUCGAGGCGGGUGGUUCGUCGAUAUUCUUCUUGAGGUUGAAGAGAUGGUACGAUCCAUUGUUCAGCACUUUGGUGACGAUGAAAGGACCUUCCCAUGCGGGGGCGAACUUGUGAGGCGCUCGUGAUCCACACGGAGCACAAGAUCACCUUUGUGAAACGAC
rnacentral:lncRNA from 1 species